CUGAACUCUGCGACUGCAAAUCUCUAUUUACAAAAACUCCUUGAAGGUGGUUUGAGAGACAUCUAUUCUUUGGAUAGACAAAUCAGGAGAUAACCAAGAACUAAAAAUACCCUGAAGGUGGUUCACGGAUGAAAAAAUUCUUAUCUUGAUAAGACAAACCUGAGAUUGCUAGGUGACGUCAGGCUGACGCUCUGCUGAAGUUUCUGCAGGCUUCCUGUGUAUUGAGUCUGCUGCUGUAGCGGUCUGUCUCUCCAAGAUGUUAACACUGUAUCCAUGACAACGCAUUAACACACACAAGUGCAGUGGAGCAUGGAGCGUGUGUCAGUGCAGUAUGAGUACGAGUACGCAACGAGGGACGGUCGCCUCGUGUGCA